ACCCCAGGCCACCACUGGUUUAAGCAAGAAAAGAGUGGCAAAGGUGUACAUAGCCUUGAAUUCUGGUCUGAGCUUGCUAGCAGCUUUGCUAUGUGACCUUGGGUGUGAAAAUUAAACUGCCCUGGCCCCUUACUUGUAAGUGGGGCAAAUCGCAGCACUCUUUCCUACCACAGGUUUGUUUCCCUGUUCCACCCUAAGGAGAAAUUUAGGUGCCAGAUCCCUGGGCAGUACAAAGAUCCGGUGGUAGUUAUUUCCCAUAACUUAUGGCUGAAGGUUAAAUUGGGGAUAGGGAAGUCUAGCUGGAGCCAAUUUGGAGAAUUAGAGGGCAUUAAUUUGCUGCUUUGACAUCUGAUUAUCUCAGCCGAAGGCUUCUCCAGAUUUCAUGAGGAGGAGAUCCGAAAUUGAAGCCAUCUUGGUUCAAUCCCAAAGUAAUGUAGGCUUCAUAGGACAGGGACUACCCCAAUAUCAGCCUUGGUCGCCACUGUCUCCAGAACCCCACUCGGUGACUGGCACAUCAUGGACACUCCAUGGAAAAGCUGAGACUCAGAGAUGUUAAAGAACUUGUCCAGGAGGCCUGAUACAGGUGAGGCCCCAAAGGCCGGUCGCGGUCCAAAGUCCUGUGAUGAUGGCAACUCACACUUGUCUGCAGUUGCUUGUACUUGAGUUUGCUAUAGAACCAUCACACAAGCAGCACAAAGGAGCUGGGAUCAAAGACGUAAGUGAGGGAGUGGAUGCAGUCCCCAGUGGCUAACUAGCUUCUUGCAGAAGUCUGGGGGUCAAGGCGGCCCUCCAGUGGUGACGAGCCUGCCUGGCGGGAAGAGCCUGGAGCAGGGCUUACAACCUUCUGUCAUAUUCUGCUGGGAGUGGCCACCUCCUGCCUACAGCGGAGGAACGUGGGCCAUUGGCUUAACCUCUCCGUGACUCAGUCUCCUUACCUAUAGAUUGAAAGUAAGAAGUGUUUUAUGAAGAUUAAAUGAGUUAAUAUCCAUGACGUACUUAGGAUAGUGUCCGACGCAUAGUAAGUGAUAAUAUUAGGGCUUGUUAAAUAAGAUAAGUACAAAUGCGAAUAAAAUAAAGUACAAAGAAAGAGAGUUGCGGGUGGGGUGGCUUGACUCAUCUUUGUUUUCGAAUGUUUACUUUUGAGGAAUCUCUAGGCCCAGUGUGGAGCUCAAACUCACAAGGCCGACAUCGAGAGUAACGUGCUCUCCCGACCGAGCCGGCCAAGCACCCCUGGCUUGACCCAUCUUUUAAUGCCUUCAUUUUGGGUCCCUAAUUGUCAAUUGGGAUUUUCCCCUCAAUGAGAAUGUAUCCCUGAUUUUAUCAUUCUCCUCACGGGUUUUCCUUGUAAGGCCAAAAUCAACUUUACAGAAACAUACUUCAUAGUCAGCUUUAUUACAACAAAGAGGUUUCUUCGGCCUCUUACACCGGAAAGGUUCAAAGGGGCCCAGGGAGCCCAGGGGUUAAAUUAGAACAUCUUGAGAGAGAACAGAGGAAAGCUAGAAUUAUGUGCUUCAACAGGUGUUUUAUGAUGGAAACUCAUUAAACUACAGGAACACGUGAAAAUAAUACCGUGCGCUUGUGUGAUACUUUUCACUUUUUCCUUCAGAGUACUUUCAUGUCUAGAAUUUCAUUUGUUCUCAGAAGGUCUGCGUGUGGUAGGGAGAGCAGGUAUUCUCAUUAGACCUAAGAAGAAACUGAGCCCCGCCAGGUUAAA